GACCGCGUGGCCCAACCAGAAGAGGCAAUCGACUUAAAAUCGAUGAGUUGCGGGUGCAAGUCCUGCCGCGGUCA
rnacentral:tRNA from 1 species